GCAAGAUACAGGGGGCCUGCGCGAGAGAUGGCAGCUACCAUUAGCACUUCAAGAACCUUUUAUUUGCUUCCAUUAGAAGGCCAGAGGGACCCUAGAGAGGGACAGGAAUUGCCAGGAUGAGGGAUAUUUCAUCAGAAUGCUGCCUCUGACUACUUUCUCUCUGUACCAAAGAUGGGUUUCCUAGCAACCCAACUCAUCAACUCCCCCUUGCAAGUACCAACAGGGACCUGGAAAACUUAAUGUACAAUGUUCUCAGUUGCAGGAAACUGGCAUGAGCAGAAACAUCUACUCAGAGAAUUUAAGAAAAAUAAAUUUCCAGAGGAAAUCAACAAAAAAUGGAAGAAAACUUGCUUCAACUAAAAUCCAGUGAUACUAGUGGCCUUUGGGCUUCGCCAUCCUUGAGAGAAGUGAAGACAGCUCAGUACCUGCUGCUAAG
rnacentral:lncRNA from 1 species